rnacentral:rRNA from 1 species
CCUACGGGCGGCAGCAGUGGGGAAUAUUGGACAAUGGGGGCAACCCUGAUCCAGCCAUGCCGCGUGUGUGAAGAAGGCCCUCGGGUUGUAAAGCACUUUCAGUGAGGAAGAACGCCUGGUGGUUAAUACCCUUCAGGAAAGACAUCACUCACAGAAGAAGCACCGGCUAACUCCGUGCCAGCAGCCGCGGUAAUACGGAGGGUGCGAGCGUUAAUCGGAAUUACUGGGCGUAAAGCGCGCGUAGGUGGCUUGAUAAGCCGGUUGUGAAAGCCCCGGGCUCAACCUGGGAACGGCAUCCGGAACUGUCAAGCUAGAGUGCAGGAGAGGAAGGUAGAAUUCCCGGUGUAGCGGUGAAAUGCGUAGAGAUCGGGAGGAAUACCAGUGGCGAAGGCGGCCUUCUGGACUGACACUGACACUGAGGUGCGAAAGCGUGGGUAGCAAACAGGAUUAGAUACCCCUGUAGUC